CCUACGGGAGGCUGCAGUAGGGAAUCUUCCACAAUGGACGAAAGUCUGAUGGAGCAACGCCGCGUGAGUGAAGAAGGGUUUCGGCUCGUAAAGCUCUGUUUGUCGUGAAGAAAGAUAGAGGUAGUAACUGGCCUUUAUUUGACGUUAAUUACUUAGAAAGUCACGGCUAACUCCGUGCCAGCAGCCGCUGUAAUACGUAGGUGGCAAGCGUUUACCGGAUUUAUUUGGCGUAAAGCGCGUGCAGGCGGUUCAAUAAGUCUGAUGUGAAAGCUUUCGGCUCAACCGGAGAAUUGCAUCAGAAACUGUUGAACUUGAGUGCAGAAGAGGAGAGUGGAACUCCAUGUGUAGCGGUGGAAUGCGUAGAUAUAUGGAAGAACACCAGUGGCGAAGGCGGCUCUCUGGUCUGCAACUGACGCUGAGGCUCGAAAGCAUGGGUAGCGAACAGGAUUAGAUACCCCUGUAGUC
rnacentral:rRNA from 1 species